UGAUCAACAUAGAUAUGAAUUAUGAUCCGUCACUUAGUCAUGCAUUUGUUGGAAAGUAUAAAUUUAUGCAUUGUCAAGUCCCAAACAUUAUUUUGGAUUUUUUCAAAGAAUUUUGCAUGUUUUUGCAACUAUUUGUAUGGCCCAUUUGUAAAUGGGUUAGUGAUGUUUUAAAAAUAAUUGUAUAAAAAAAUGAAUUUGAAAUAAUUUUAUGAUUUGGGUGUUCUGUAUCUAAUUCUCCUUUUUCUGUAUUGUAAGCUCAUUAUCAGAUGGGGGAGCGAUGUUGUCCCAUUAGAAGUGCAGUCUCGGGAAAAAGUUAAAUUAAAGAAAUAAAGAGAAGAUAAAAGAGAAGUGUUACCCAGGACACCAAAAGCCCUCUCAACGCAGUUUCUUGUCUUAAUGUGACUGGCAUUGUACUUCUCCUGUUGUCCUGCUUGGGGCGUGAGGAAAGGAGUCAUUAGCCAUGGACGAAGGGGGUAGCCACUGUCCCCUAAGAGCCAUCCUCCACCUGGCAGCUGGUCCAUUAUCUCGGGAAUGCUCGAGUUUGCAAGUCAGCGGUCACGAUUCCCUGCAUGUUUAUGGCAUGAAACCCUUUCCUGCACACAAAAACAUGCUCAUCGUCUCCAGUCAUUCCCAUGAUUGGAAUCAGAGUUCCAUCAAUGGCACCAACUACGUUGGGGAAGUUUGCC